rnacentral:rRNA from 1 species
ACUCCUACGGGAGGCAGCAGUAGGGAAGUCUUCCACAAUGGGCGCAAGCCUGAUGGAGCAACACCGCGUGAGUGAAGAAGGGUUUCGGUCUCGUAAAGCUCUGUUGUUAAAGAAGAACACGUAUGAGAGUAACUGUUCAUACGUUGACGGUAUUUAACCAGAAAGUCACGGCUAACUACGUGCCAGCAGCCGCGGUAAUACGUAGGUGGCAAGCGUUAUCCGGAUUUAUUGGGCGUAAAGAGAGUGCAGGCGGUUUUCUAAGUCUGAUGUGAAAGCCUUCGGCUUAACCGGAGAAGUGCAUCGGAAACUGGAUAACUUGAGUGCAGAAGAGGGUAGUGGAACUCCAUGUGUAGCGGUGGAAUGCGUAGAUAUAUGGAAGAACACCAGUGGCGAAGGCGGCUACCUGGUCUGCAACUGACGCUGAGACUCGAAAGCAUGGGGUAGCGAACAGGAUUAGAUACCCUGGUAGGAUAGCG